rnacentral:rRNA from 1 species
CCAUUAGAUGUUCUGGGCCGCACGCGUGCUACACUGAGUGGAUCAGCGGGUCAGGUUGCGCGAAAGUGUUUCCUAAUCUUUAAAUCCGCUCGUGAUGGGGAUUGACGGUUGCAAUUUUCCGUCAUGAACGAGGAAUACCUUGUAAGCGCGGGUCAUCAUCCCGCGCUGAAUACGUCCCUGCCCUUUGUACACACCGCCCGUCGCUCCUACCGAUUGAGUGGUCCGGUGAGGCUUUGGGAUCUGAGCGGAAAGAGCGUUUCGCUGUUUCUGCCCGGAAAACUCAGUCGAACCUUAUCAUUUAGAGGAAGGAGAAGUCGUAACA